AUUGAACGCUGGCGGCAUGCCUUACACAUGCAAGUCGAACGGUAACAGCUCUUCGGAGGCUGACGAGUGGCGAACGGGUGAGUAAUACAUCGGAACGUGCCCGAUCGUGGGGGAUAACGGAGCGAAAGCUUUGCUAAUACCGCAUACGAUCUACGGAUGAAAGCAGGGGACCCUCGGGCCUUGCGCGAACGGAGCGGCCGAUGGCAGAUUAGGUAGUGGGUGGGAUAAAAGCUUACCAAGCCGACGAUCUGUAGCUGGUCUGAGAGGACGACCAGCCACAGUGGGACUGGGACACGGCCCAGACUCCUACGGGAGGCAGCAGUGGGGAAUUUUGGACAAUGGGCGAAAGCCUGAUCCAGCAAUGCCGCGUGCAGGAUGAAGGCCUUCGGGUUGUAAACUGCUUUUGUACGGAACGAAAAGUCUCGGGCUAAUACCCUGGGACCAUGACGGUACCGUAAGAAUAAGCACCGGCUAACUACGUGCCAGCCGCCGCAGUAA
rnacentral:rRNA from 1 species